rnacentral:rRNA from 1 species
UACGUAGGGUGCAAGCGUUGUCCGGAAUUAUUGGGCGUAAAGAGCUCGUAGGCGGUUCGUCGCGUCGGCUGUGAAAUCCCGGAGCUCAACUCCGGGUCUGCAGUCGAUACGGGCGGACUCGAGUUCGGCAGGGGAGACUGGAAUUCCUGGUGUAGCGGUGAAAUGCGCAGAUAUCAGGAGGAACACCGGUGGCGAAGGCGGGUCUCUGGGCCGUAACUGACGCUGAGGAGCGAAAGCGUGGGGAGCGAACAGG